rnacentral:rRNA from 1 species
UAGGGAAUCUUCCACAAUGGACGCAAGUCUGAUGGAGCAACGCCGCGUGAGUGAAGAAGGCUUUCGGGUCGUAAAACUCUGUUGUUGGAGAAGAAUGGUCGGCAGAGUAACUGUUGUCGGCGUGACGGUAUCCAACCAGAAAGCCACGGCUAACUACGUGCCAGCAGCCGCGGUAAUACGUAGGUGGCAAGCGUUAUCCGGAUUUAUUGGGCGUAAAGCGAGCGCAGGCGGUUUUUUAAGUCUGAUGUGAAAGCCCUCGGCUUAACCGAGGAAGCGCAUCGGAAACUGGGAAACUUGAGUGCAGAAGAGGACAGUGGAACUCCAUGUGUAGCGGUGAAAUGCGUAGAUAUAUGGAAGAACACCAGUGGCGAAGGCGGCUGUCUGGUCUGUAACUGACGCUGAGGCUCGAAAGCAUGGGUAGCGAACAGGAUUAGAUACCCUGGUAGUCCAUGCCGUAAACGAUGAAUGCUAGGUG